UGCAAAAAGAUUUUAAUUGGCAUCAUUUUGAUCAUUCUUGGUUUAAUUUACAGUUUAUUCAUUCUUGUCAAACAUAAACACAUCUUGUGGUUGUCUUCAGUAAAAGUAAAUGCUUUUGCCGGCAUCUCGAGCCAAUUCCCUCCCUCCCGCCCUUUAAACAUAAACUAACAUGACUGAAAAGCGCAUUCUCCCUCAUACACGCUUGCAUAUUCAGAUCCUACAAAUGACUCCGCUAACGGGUACGAAAUGUUCUAAAUGCCACGUACUUUAAAAGCGCGGACAAACACGUUCCACCUACAUACAUCCUCUCUUUCCCUACCACGCACGCAGACAUACAAAAAAAAAAAAAAAACACACACACACACACACCCCUGCUAAAACAUUCAUACACAUUCUGGAACCCUGCAUGUAUUUAUAAAUUUACAUUACAGUGCAGGCUCAAACGACACCAGUUCUGUCUGUGCAUUCCCAGUUGGUUUAUGACAUGCUUCUCAGCAAUAUUAUCAGCUGCAUCUUUUUACACAAGACUCAGCUAACCGAGUGUAUGCUUGCACUGAAUCAUUAACUAAUAACUGUCUGUGACCGGCUGAAAUACAUCUAUUUGUCUAAACAAGCAAAAUACUGCAGUACAAAUCCAAUAGUUUUGAGAAAAAUGCUAAAAAAUGGUACAAUAGCUUAUCGUGCAUUCUUAGGCAAAGACCUAAGAAUGCACAUUAAUAAAUUAUGUAGAUAAAUACACUUUAAUGUCAAAAUAAGAGCAUUUUAAAAGUAAAUAAAUAAAAACGCACAACAUUGUAACUUGAUUUAAGGUUUGCCUACGCAGUAUAAAAGAACUUCUCAUAAGUUUCACAUUCACGCAUUUUAUUUAUUUUUUGAUAUUUUUUUUAUCAAGAUGGUGCCACAAUUAGCUCCAGACACUGAAGAAUAGACGCUGCAUUGGCCGCGAUGCCCCACAGAGAUGAUCCAUUACCACCUCCGCCAUAUUGGGAGUUCUCCUUGGAAAGCAACAAAAGCUUGAGUUCUGAAUGAAACACUAAAGUUUACAAUUAAAUCAUUUUUGCAUUUUUAUUUUCUAGAAAUAAUGUUAAUGAAGUGGAAUCUGAUAGAGAGUCUGUCUAGGAAGCUAAAGAUUAGUUAUGGGAAGGAGGCUUUCCAAACUUAAAGACUUGGAGCUCAUAACCCAUUUGUCAAAAUACCAUCGGUAAAAAGAAGGUUAACAAUUUUAACAAUGGUUUAUAGUUGUAGCAGGAGCAGUAGUAGUAGGCUGUAUGGUGGCAAAGUUGAUUUAACUGUUGCCUUAAAGCAAAAAGGUCCCAGGUUCAAAUCCUGGUCUUUCUGCAUGGAUUUUGCAUGUUCUUUUGUUUAUGAUAGAUAUCAAACUUGCAAAAUUGUGUGUGUGUUUUUUUAAAUUUUUUUAUUAGUGGAAUACUGACAAGGUUUUGCACAGCUUGCAUUGCUCUGUGAUGUAUGGUGCGGUUUUAGUGCCAACAUUAAGACCAUUUCCCUCCCAGUGGUGGUUACUCCCUCAUCACAGGUGACCAUAUCCAUUCCAAAGCCAGAUACUGAUCUGAUUUAUGAUGGGCAAGCAUCAGAAACCAAGCGACCAACUAUUUUUCUAGAUAAAGUUUUCUUUAAAGAAAAAAAGUAUGAGACACAGGAGACCAUCAGGUAUGCUAGCCACAAGCCUCUUCAAAGUUAACUUAAGUGAUAAGUCUCCUUCUCUACUGGCACUAGCCACUCAGUUACCAUGCCAACCUACCAAGAAUCAGAUCAGUAGUUGGCUUUGGGAUAGAGAUAGCUUCCUGUGACUGUAGACACAACUGGGUGUGUAAUAGUCUUAAUUACGGCACUACAGCCAUGCCUUAGUGAUGGACUGGUGUACCCCGCCGCUUGCCCAAUUCCUACUGGAGAUGGCAGCAACCCCCCCACCCAACAAUCGUAUAAGGAUAAGACGGUAUAAGAAAUGGAAAGUUAGUGCCAUAUUUUCCUGACUAAAAGGCGCACUU